rnacentral:rRNA from 1 species
UACGUAGGGGGCAAGCGUUGUCCGGAAUCAUUGGGCGUCAAGCGCGUGUAGGCGGCCCGGUAAGUCAGCUGUGAAAGUCGGGGGCUCAACCCUCGAAUGCCGGUGGAUACUGUCGGGCUUGAGUACGGAAGAGGCGAGUGGAAUUCCUGGUGUAGCGGUGAAAUGCGUAGGUAUCUGGAGGAAUACCGGUGGCGAAGGCGGCAUCCUGGACCAUAACUGACGCUGAGGCGCGAAAGCUAGGGGAGCAAACGGG